ensembl:ncRNA Y41C4A.31 ncRNA
AAUUCACAGAAAGGGCGGCGUUAACAAGCCACACUUAUAAAAUGGGCGGCGCUUAGCAAGCCACGCCCACAAAAUGCACAA